rnacentral:rRNA from 1 species
UACGUAGGGGGCAAGCGUUGUCCGGAAUCAUUGGGCGUAAAGAGCGUGUAGGCGGCCCGGUAAGUCCGCUGUGAAAGUCGGGGGCUCAACCCUCGAAUGCCGGUGGAUACUGUCGGGCUAGAGUGCGGAAGAGGCGAGUGGAAUUCCUGGUGUAGCGGUGAAAUGCGCAGAUAUCAGGAGGAACACCGGUGGUGUAGGCGGCUCUCUGGGACGGUACUGACGCUGAGACGCGAAAGCGUGGGGAGCGAACAGG